CUGAACUUUAGGGGGAGCACAGGCUUGGCAUGUAAUAUGUGCUCAGUAAGUGGUUACUAUUGUUAUUACCUUGCCACCUGCUCCCAGUGACCCCAGACCUCCACUUCAGAGGUCCCAAAGGCAGGCAGGCAUGGGAGGCUUCAGCACUUUAGGGGUCAUCUCAAUCUCACACUGCCAUCAGAGUCGGAGGUGUGCUCUGGCUGGAGUCAGACAUCAGUGCUGCUUAGCACUGAGACCAGAAUGAUUUGCUAGUUUAAAGAGAGUGCUCCAUCCUGACCUUCCUGCCCCUGCCCUGCCCCUGCCCUUUGCCUCUCCAUCUCCCACACCUGCUCACUGCCAGCCCAACUCCCACCUGUCGCCUCUGGCAAGGCAAAUCGGCAGAACAUACUGGCCUCAGUUGGAAAUGUAUACUUCUUGGGUGAUUGAUUUUAACCUCUGGCCAUGAUAUUAUGUUUCUUGAAAUCCUGCUUCAUGACUGCUUCAGAGACUGUGUGGAUAAUAAAGACCCUGCACCCUGACUCUAGGGUGAGUUUGGCUGCCACCUCUGGAGAGCCGAUUUGUCUAGUACAUGGAGUUGGGGAUCCUGUUUAAGUGUUAUUUUUAUAUCAGAGGGAGAAAAACAGCUUAAGGAGGCCAAGGGAGUAGCCCGGACGAAACCAUGUACUGACAAAUCACAGAUGGGGUCCCCUUCUGCCAGAGCAGUUGAGAGGCUGUGAGAGUAGCCUUUGUUCAGUGGCCCAGACACAUCAGCUCAUCCUUCCUGGGGGUGCUGGACACAGCAGCAUGUGUGGACUGGACAGAACCAGCACCUCGGUGACAGAUUUCCGUUGGUCCACAGGCCCAUUGCUGAGCUUUUCCUGUGAGCUGCUGGGGAUGGUAGUGCCCAGAUGGUACUUUUGCCUCCCCGCCCCCACAGUAUCCUUUUGCCCCUUUUUUGGCACACCUCUAAGAUUUUCUUCAGAAAACCCCAAGUUCCCUGAUCUCAGAGCACUUGAUUUUUGGAGGGCUCAGCUAUGGGUGGGUUCCAAGAAGUAGACCUCCAAUUCAGACUAAGCUCAUCCCACACUUAGUACCUCUGGCCACAAUAAGUGGGGCAUUGGCAGAAUCAGUCAAAUAAGGGUGAAUCCUGGGACUUUUGCUGGAAUUAAUAGGAACUCUUUUCAACUGGUUUGAAGUAGGAGGGUAUAGUGUGGAGAAUCUGGGGGCUACUAUGGAGAGCGGGGCAGAUAAUAAAGACCAAUCCAUGGGCAAGAGUCAUGAUAUGAUGGGGAAAGACAGAUCCUCCUGGAAUUCAUUGCAUCCUUGGAUUAAAUUGUACCUGAAGACCUACUGCUGGGCUUUUUCAAUUACAUAAACCAAUAGAAACGUUUGAUUAUUGGUUGGUUUAAAGAAAUUUGAAGUGUGUCAUUGGUCAUUUGCAGAUGAAAGUGUUGUAACCAAGAAAUAGUGCCCAUUUGAGAAAGCAAUUAGAAUAAAUCAGAAGGUUGUCAUGGGGACUUUUACAAGGUGCUUGAAGAAAAUAGAAUAAAAGGAAGAUUGAAAUGGAACAAGGUUAUUGAAGGAAGACUUCAUAAAGAUGGUGAGUUUGGGCAUAGAAACAAUAAUAAAUAUUUACUGAGCUGUAAAUAGUAUAUCUUCAUACUUCAAAUGAGUUGGAAAGAGUUCCUAUUAAUUCCAGUAUAAGUGCCAGGAUUCACUCUUAUUUGACUAAUUCUGCCAAUGCUCUACUCACUGUGGCCAGAAGCUCUAAGUGUGUGCUGGACACCAGGUUAAGCAGUUUACAUAUGUGAUGGAAGAAUAUUUAAAAAUAGGAACAAAAUUGGGAAGUGAGUACUUUCUUCUAACUUAUUGAUUUUUCUCAUUCAAACUGGAAUGUCUUUGUUUAUUG
rnacentral:lncRNA from 1 species